rnacentral:rRNA from 1 species
UGGGGAAUUUUGGACGAAUUGGGCGAAAGCCUGAUCCAGCAAUGCCGCGUGUGUGAAGAAGGCCUUCGGGUUGUAAAGCACUUUUGUCCGGAAAGAAAUCCUUGGCUCUAAUACAGUCGGGGGAUGACGGUACCGGAAGAAUAAGCACCGGCUAGCUACGUGCCAGCAGCCGCGGUAAUACGUAGGGUGCAAGCGUUAAUCGGAAUUACUGGGCGUAAAGCGUGCGCAGGCGGUUUGCUAAGACCGAUGUGAAAUCCCCGGGCUCAACCUGGGAACUGCAUUGGUGACUGGCAGGCUAGAGUAUGGCAGAGGGGGGUAGAAUUCCACGUGUAGCAGUGAAAUGCGUAGAGAUGUGGAGGAAUACCGAUGGCGAAGGCAGCCCCCUGGCAAGUACUGACGCUCAUGCACGAAAGCGUGGGGAGCAAACNGAUUAAUNCCCUGGUAGUCCACG